rnacentral:rRNA from 1 species
CCUACGGGUGGCAGCAGUGGGGAAUAUUGCACAAUGGGGGAAACCCUGAUGCAGCGACGCCGCGUGAGUGAAGAAGUAUUUCGGUACGUAAAGCUCUAUCAGCAGGGAAGAAAAUGACGGUACCUGACUAAGAAGCCCCGGCUAACUACGUGCCAGCAGCCGCGGUAAUACGUAGGGGGCAAGCGUUAUCCGGAUUUACUGGGUGUAAAGGGAGCGUAGACGGCAGCGCAAGUCUGGAGUGAACUCCCAUGGCUUAACCAUGGAACUGCUUUGGAAACUGUGCAGCUAGAGUGCAGGAGAGGUAAGCGGAAUUCCUAGUGUAGCGGUGAAAUGCGUAGAUAUUAGGAGGAACACCAGUGGCGAAGGCGGUCUGCUGGACAGCAACUGACGGUGAGGCGCGAAAGCGUGGGGAGCAAACAGGAUUAGAUACCCGGGUAGUC